rnacentral:rRNA from 1 species
GACGAACGCUGGCGGCGUGCUUAACACAUGCAAGUCGAACGGAAAGGCCCUGCUUUUGUGGGGUGCUCGAGUGGCGAACGGGUGAGUAACACGUGAGUAACCUGCCCUUGACUUUGGGAUAACUUCAGGAAACUGGGGCUAAUACCGGAUAGGAGCUCCUGCUGCAUGGUGGGGGUUGGAAAGUUUCGGCAGUUGGGGAUGGACUCGCGGCUUAUCAGCUUGUUGGUGGGGUAGUGGCUUACCAAGGCUUUGACGGGUAGCCGGCCUGAGAGGGUGACCGGCCACAUUGGGACUGAGAUACGGCCCAGACUGCUACGGGAGGCAGCAGUGGGGAAUAUUGCACAAUGGGCGGAAGCCUGAUGCAGCAACGCCGCGUGCGGGAUGACGGCCUUCGGGUUGUAAACCGCUUUCGCCUGUGACGAAGCGUGAGUGACGGUAAUGGGUAAAGAAGCACCGGCUAACUACGUG